rnacentral:rRNA from 1 species
UACAGAGGUCUCAAGCGUUGUUCGGAUUCAUUGGGCGUAAAGGGUGCGCAGGCGGAUAUGUAAGUCAGUGGUGAAAUCUCCGGGCUUAACCCGGAAACUGCCGUUGAUACUAUAUAUCUUGAAUGCUGUGGAGGUAAGCAGAAUAUGUCAUGUAGCGGUGAAAUGCUUAGAGAUGACAUAGAAUACCUAUUGCGAAGGCAGCUUACUACGCAGAUAUUGACGCUCAUGCACGAAAGCGUGGGGAUCAAACAGG